GGAGAAAACCCUCCCAAACUCUGAUUAUCAGUGUCGUCCGAGUCGCACCGAAUAACUAAAAACUUUCAACAACGGAUCUCUUGGUUCUGGCAUCGAUGAAGAACGCAGCGA
rnacentral:rRNA from 1 species